UGUUUUAGUCUAGUUAGAGGAACCUGUUUUAUAAGCGAUACAACACGCAUUAUCUUACUUAUUUUAGUAAGUCAGCUUGUAUACCGUCAUUAUAAGAUAAUUUAGGAGAAAAUAUUAUUGAGAUCAUAUUAUUGAGUAUAUUAGAUCAAGGUGCAGCUUAUGGGUAAGUAAAUAUGGGUUACAAUAAAAUUUAUUUAAUAUGAAUUAAAUAUUUAAAUGUAUUUAUGAAGGAGGAUUUAAUUGUAAGAAAAGGAGUAGUGAGAUUUUCUGAU
rnacentral:rRNA from 1 species